ACUCAAAUUAGGAUCAAAAGUUGACCACGGUAUUCCAGUGGUGCAAUGUAUUACUGCAUCAUAUUUUUUACCAGAUGGACUCUUCAGUGAUGUUCCCUCCGGAGUUUUGUAGUCAAGAACCUCGUCAGCGCCUAAGCUCUUAACGAAGUCAAUGUUGCGAGCACCACAAGUGGCUGUCACGUGGUUGUUCCCUAGUUUGGCAAGUUGAACAGCAAAUGAACCUACACCACCUGAAGCAGCAGUUACCAAAACAUUCUUCUGCUCGCCAGUCCCAUCAAGCUUAAUUCCUCCGAUUUCUGUGAGGGCAUCACGAGCUGUUAAACCGGCAAUAGGUAAACCCGCAGCUUCAGCAGCUGAGACUUCAGGUGGUCUGGUAGCUGUUAAGCUCUCACUAGCCACGGCAAACUCAGCUAGUCCACCUCCAUACUGUCAUUAACAUGACACAAAAUUGGAUAUCAAAUAUAACCAUUGUAUUUAAUAUAUUGUAUAUGAAAUAAAAAGAAAGUUGGAUUGGAGAUAGGAUCAGUCCUAGAGUUGUGGAUUGAGAAACCUUUCAAUGUUACUGGUGCACAUGUACCACAAGUUGGGGAAGAGCAUAUAAUCAAAAUUGUAACACAGCGAUAUAUAUAAUUUCACAGUAUAAAUCAUGCGGCAUCUUCAUGCAUCACACUUAGAUUUCAGAAUUCAGAUAAACAAAUUAAUAAUACAUCUUUAUUAAAAAGAAGGUUAUUUGAUGUCUAAGCUCGAAAUCUGAACUUUCACAACCAUGAGGGGCAAUAAAGAAAUAUUAGUAUGUAAUCAAUAGAAGGUAAGGUUAGAGGCAGAGGAAGGUUGAUAUCUUGUGAUCAAUCAUGUGGUCUAGCCGGACAAACGACAUCUCCAAACAAGGAGGUAAGGCUAAUCAAAUCAAUACCUUUAUAGGUAAGGCUAAUCAAAACAAGAUUGUUAUCUUCUACCUUUUCCAUCUAAUUCUUAAAACCUUCAUAACCACUGUGUAUGCUUGUAUCCCCAUGUCUGGUAGGGUCAAAUAAGGAUGUUAGACAACAAAUUGAAUUGGUUGGUUCAAAAGAUAAUUUUUACCACCACAGCUCCACUCCAUGUUCUUGUUUGAUUUACCAAUUGGCCAAAAGUAGAAAUCUAUUAUAAUUGUACUUAUCUAUGAGAAAGUACCCAAUUUAGUCGCUGGAAUUAGACAUUUCAUAACCUUAGUUCCUCAUUUUAUAUAAAUAUUGUCAAGUUAGUCCCUCCGUUAAUUUUAGUCUGCUAUGUAGUGGUUUUUCAUUUUUUUUUGUGGCGAUGUGUCACGUUAAGUGACAUUGUGACACAAAUUUUAGUACACGUAAGAAAAAGUCGGGAACCAAAUUGAUACAAGCUAGAAUUUCAAAUUUAAAAACUUGUUUAUUUCUGGUUUCUUCUCUAAAACCAUAAGAAAUUUUAAUAUCUCUCCAUAAUUUAGGGACCCUCGGAGUGUAAAGAAUGGGUAGUGGCUUGAAAAGUUUAUGCGAUUACUCUGCAUAUUAAUAAUAGGGGUAAUAGCCAUUUUGGUCUAUGAAUUUGUAACGAGUAGCCACAAUAGUCCCUCAAUAUAUCGAAAUUUCAAAAUAGUCCCAGAUUGUGCACCUCGUUAGUCAAAAUAGUCCUUGACAUUAAAAUACUUCGUUAAUAUUGUCAUAUUAGUCCUUCAAUACACUUACUUAUUGUCAUAUAAGUCCUUACCAGUACUUGCUUAUUGUCAUUUCAGUCCCUAUAUAAAAAGAAUUAUUGUGAGUAUUGGGGGAUGAUUUUAACGUCAGGGACUAUUUUGAUUAACAAAGUGCACAAUCAGGGACUAUUUUGAAAUUUUGAUACAUUGAGGGCCUAUUGCGACUACUCCUUACGCAUUCAGGGACCAAAAUGACUAUUACCCCUUAAUAAUAUGCCUGAGUCAUGUCUAUGUCUUUUAAAUACCGAAAGCAUAAGCAGAAAGUCUUUAAAUUUGAAACACGCGCAAGCUUUAAAAUCUGUUUAUACUUUUAGAUUUGUUGAUGAGUGGCCCUAAAAUUUGUUGGAGAAACACAGGCGUGGUUAAGCUCUAAAGUCAAGGGGAAACUUGUAAUAGAAAUGGAAAUAUUGUUUGGGUAGUUGCAACUUGUUCAAAGAUGAUUGCAUUUCAAUUUGGUUCCCAGAUGCGCAUAAUGGACCCGAAGAAGCAUCAUUUUGGUUUCAUACUUUUGUGUUUUCCAUAGAUUCCAUUUCUAGUGAUAGUUCCAUUCUGUUAGCAUAGACAUUGUUUGGAGAUCAUUCAACAUGGCUACUCCCUCCGUUCCUAUUUAUAAGAAAAAAUGAGUCAAAGAAAGUUGAUGAAUUUGGUUAAAAAUAUGGAUCAAAUACAUCAACCUUCUUCAACUGAUUUUUGCUUAUAAAUAGGAAUGGAGUAUAUCCAUACCAUGGUUGGUCUAUGGUAUUUUUGCACUUUUUAUUUUCUCUCCCAACUAAUGUGUUAGGCAUUGUUAGUAAUAAGCAGUUUAUUGACAUUCAGUUUAUUUUAUUAUUAUCAUUAUUAUUAUUUUUAUUAUUAUUAUUAAAUAGUGUGGGCAGUAACCGCUAGUAAUUGCUGUAGGUAGUCUGAAUUAUAAAUAUAGGUUGAAAGAGAAAAGGGAGGGCACUGGGUAUUUUGUAUAUAGUUUGGUUUGGGAGAGACUAGGUUCUCUAAUUCCUAGAGGUUUGUUAAUUUUAUGCAGUUAUUUUCCUGUUGCAGCAGUUUGUUAAUGUAACCAUUUCUGUUGGCAUAAUUAUCAUUGGUGUUUAUUCAUAUCUGAACCAUUAUCUAUCAUAAUGUUGAAAACUCCUAAAUACGGUGAGCUUAAUGGUCUGUUCUUCACAUCUUAAUGGUCUAUGACAUUUGUUCUACUUUAAUCCUCUUGCUAAAGGAGUUCUAAACACAAAUAAAUGGUAAAACCAUGGUAAAUGGUGAGACCCAUUCAACGAGUAUAAAAACCAUGUUUGAGUUUAUCUUUUGACUUGGUGGAGGACUAUAAGCUGUAUAAUAAUUUUAUUAGUCACAGGAAUAAGAUCAUCAUGGUAGUAAACUUUAUUCAGGUUUGUAAUAAAAUUGCUAGGGGUGGGUAAAAAAAACCAAAAAACUGAACUGAACCAAAAAAAAAAAACUAGAACCAUUACUAACAGUUCUGCACAGUUCAGUUCAGUCCAAGCUAUAGAUUAGUGAUUUAGUUUCUUUACAUACCGGUUUCAGAGAAGAAAAGAGGAAGAAAACAACCAGAAAUAGAUAUUGGAUAUUUUCAUUUAAAAGCCUAGCGUUUUCUCGAUUUCGUCCCUGACUUUUGCGUACCUGAACUAAGACUUGUGUGCCAGAAUAUCACUUAACGUGACACAUCACCACUUAACAGACUGAAACUAACAAAAGGACUAACUUGAUCAAUAUUUUGAUAUGUGAUGGACUAGUCUGCAAUAUUGAAAAAAUGAGGGACAAAGUUGACACAUUGCAAACUUUCGAACUUUUGACACAUGUACGAAAUUUCUUUCAGACACGAGCACCGUGAAAGGGUAUGUGUUAUUAAACUAGUAUAGAUAUAGAAUAGAAAAUCAUCUCAUUCAUGAAAUUGUGUUGUAAUUUACACUGGAAUUAACACAGAUGAUAUGAAGAAUGGAAAACAGAAACCUAAGGAAGUGAAAGAAAGAGAUAAGUACUUGAUGUGUGAGUUUAGCAAUAACUUUGUCGCCAGAUUUGAAAUCCUUGACUUGUGGUCCAACCUCUACCACCUCUCCAGCUACAUCAGUGCCUGAAUCAAAGUCCCAAGAGCAAAGGAAUCUUAAUUAUAUUGUAAGUAAAAGUGAGUAGGAAAUGAGUCUAAUUGUAUUAACAGUUCAAUUAAACACUUAUAGAAUACAUGUUUAUCAUUUAAAUACUUAUAUUAUAUAUAAGCUAUUUCUACAAUCAAAGAGAGAAAAAAAUAUAGGAGAAUUAUUUUCAUAUAAGCUAUAAGUUGUUUUCAUAAACUAUAGUUCAAAGUUGUUUUCAUAAACUCUACUUCGAAGCUAUUUUCAUAAACUAAAAACCAUACAUGUCAUAACCUAUUCCUUUAGGAUAUGUUUGGAUAGAGGGUUUAGAAGGGGAGGACUUACUUUUCUUUUUCAAAUUACAGACACUAUAAAAUAUUUUUUAAAUGAAUUAAGUCUGAUUGAAGUAUUAUAUGAUCAUUUAUCAUAUUGUAAUUUCAAUUUUUUAAAAAUAUCAAUAAUAUUUCAAAAUAUAGACUUAACCCUCCAAAAUCCCCUCCCAAACAGAACCUUAGUAUCACAUAAACACCUUGAGAAAUUACUAUGCUAAUAAAUAAACUCAUUUCCACAUUAAAAAAAAUAUAAAAAAAAUAGUCAAAUUAUGUUCAUACAAGCUAUAAUUUGUUUCAAUAAACUAUUAUCUAGAGCUGUUUUCAUAAACUGAACAUAACUUAGAGAUGGGGGCAUUAGCCGAUCAGUUCAGUUUUGAAAAAUGAAUCUGAAUCCGGUUCAUGUGGUUUUUCAUGAAAUAAGAUCCCGAAACAUCCAAUAAUAUUCGGUUUGGAACGGAUUUCAAGAUCUGUUUUGCUAUUUGGACAUCGAUUGGUUUCGAUAUCAACACCGAACCUAUCAUGAGUGUUUUUUUUUUUUAAGCUAAACUAACCGACCCCAAUUUGCACCGGAUAGAAUUGAACCUGAGACCUUGAGGAGGAGUGGAGCACACUCCAAGGUCUCAAGCCAUUAGCAGACAGACAUAUCAUGAGUUAUAUCUUUAGUAUGACACAAACACUUGGAAAGGCGAUUAUGCUGAUCAAACAAGUAAAUAAAUUUUUACAAGUCAAACUAUAGGCAGCAGAAGUAAAAAAAGAAGGUGGAAGAGUGAGUCAUACAAGGUAUGUGGGGAAACUUUCGAGGCAAAAAGAAUAGCACGAAGAGCACCACUCUGAAUCUUCCAAUCAAUUGGGUUGAUGCUAGUUGCUUCCAAUUUGAGUAAAACUUCGUUAGUCUUUGGAAUUGGUACAGGAACUUCAGCAUGCUGUUUUAAAACCAAUAAUUGAAUUGAAUUGAAUCAGAUUUAGUGAUGCAAAUGCAGAUUUGAAGAAAAAGAUAAUGAAUCUAUUGAAAAAGAUGAGAAAUGGGUCAUGAAUCAAUAUUACCUUCAAUCCAGACACUCCUCCGCCAUAGGAACUGUACUGAAGAGCUUGCAUAAGUUUCGCAGCCAUAUUAUCUAACUUUCUCCAGAAUCUUCGGAUUUUGUUUUGUUUUAUUGACUGCUUGUCUUAAACUACUCAAUUCGUCGUUAUUGUAAUAAUAAUAUAUUUUUAAAUUGCUUUAAUGAUUAAUGUAUUUAUACCUAAUAUCGAUUAGAUACAUAAGCUAUUUAAUCAAUAGUAUAUAUAUAAAGUAAAGUUUUUUUAUGUCACAUGUCACUUCUACGUUUAUUCAUACUAUUAUUAUUUUACUAUUUUUUAAAAUUAAUAUUUAAUUUGGUAUAAAUACCUCAACAAACUUUUGAUCUUAUCUACUAAAUAUUUUAUUUAACUUUUUUUAUUGAGUUCCUAAUAUUUUAUGUGACAUAAAUAUCUCAACAGAAAUAACAUAAAUUUCUACAAGUUAAUUUUAUUCUUUGUGUUAAUAUAAAAAGUGAUUUGUUUCUUACAAUAACAGAUAAACCGGAUUAUAAAGGGAAAAAAAAACUUAGAAUACAGAAUUAAAAUUGUACUCCCUCUGUUGUCCAUUAUAAGUAAAUUUUGACUUUUUAAAUUCAUUCAAUCAAUGAUAUAUCUGGUUCAUAAUAUAAAUCACAUACAUCAUUAGAGAAGGGGAGAGGAACCUAGAGAGAGAAAAUAAGGGUGGGAAAGGGACAACUAGGGACACAAAUGUGAGAAGAGGACCAGCCAAAGAACAACGACGUGGUUACUUCAACCGCCGAUGUCAGUCCACCAUGUCGUUCUUCUUCACCAACUUGCCGGAGGGGUUUAAAGUCUCAGAUCUGUACACUGUUUUUCUUCGUUUUGGUCACGUUGGGGUGGUGUAUGUACCUCUGAAGUGUGAUCGUUGAGGACGAAGGUUUGGAUUCGUGAAGUUUCAAGACGUUGACGACGAGGAGGGGUUGGGGCUCCGUCUGGGGGAGGUGGUUGGCUGGGGGAUUCAAGGUUGGAGGUGAAUAGGGCGAAAUUUGGGAGAGGAGAGAAGACCGCAAUUCCAGCUUCGGUAAGGAACAUAGUGACAGUAGGCAGUGGUAUGGUGGUGUCAAAGGAGAUGUCUUUUAAACAGGUGGUAGCGCAAGAGAGUCAGAUCGGAGCUACACUGUCGACGGUGCUACGACGGGUGGUGGUGCAACCGUCUGUAGACAGGUUGAAGGAGCUGGAGUCAUGCUUUGUGGCAGUUUUAUCUUUCCAUAGGAAGGACUAAAAUGGUUUUGCAUAGCUUGAUGUUGGGUGGGUUGAAGAAGAUAUGAGUGACUUCUAUGGGUGCAAAUAUGGUCCUCUUGAAAGCUGAAGAUCCUCAGGUGAUUGAAGAAGUUGAUCAUAGGAGUGAUCCUUGGUGGAGAGGGAUUUUCAAGUCUGUCAAACGUUGGGCUCCUAAUUUGAUGGCAAAACAUAGGGUGGUGUGGCUGAGAAUCUUUGGCUUGCCAUUACAUGUGUGGGAAGAGCAGACCUUCAAGCACUUGGGAGGUUUUUUUUGGUGAGUUUGUGGACUUUGAUGAUGACACAAUAGGAUUCAACAUAUUUGAUAUGGCUAGUAGGGUUUGGAAUAGGCCAGGCCGGCCUAUAGGGGCCUAUGGCCUGGCCUGUUUAAGCAUGGUCUGGCCUGGCCUGUUUAUUAAAAAGGUUAGGCUUAGGCUUUUUAAAAAGCCUAUUUAAGUAAAUAGGUCAGGCUUAGGCUAUCAAAAAAAGCCUAUGAAGCCUAAUAGGCCGGCCUGUUUAUGCAUGUUAGGCUUCAUAGUGGACUUUUUAAAUAGGUUUUAAAGCUUUAUAGUGAAAUAGGCUUUUAAGGCCUUAUAGUAGUGAUAGACAAGUCUUAGACUGAAAUAGGCUUUGAGGCCUAUUGAGCCUAUUUAAAAGUAGAUAAAGUGGAAUGUUUAGUGACUUUAAUAGUAAGUAGGCCUUUAAAUAGGCUUUCAAGCCAGGCCAAACUUUUAAAUAGGCCAGGCCAUAGGCCAGGCUCAGGCCUGCAAAAAUUUUCGUAGGCCAGGCUCAGGCCUAUCAAAGCCUGGCCUGGCCUGGCCUAUUCCCAACCCUAAUGGCUAGGGUUUGCGUGUGGUCAUCUUCUUUGGCCUUCAUUAAUGAAAAGUUAAGGUUGGAGGUGACGGGGGCUGUUUUUUAUGUGUGGGUGGUAGAGGAGGUGGUGUCGGCGGUGGGUACAAGGCGGACGGAGUAGUCUAGUUGGGAGGAGGUGUCGCCGAAGUCCUCUAAUGGAGGAGUAGGUGGUGGUGUGCUUCCUGAGUUCAUGGAAUGAGGAAGUAAGGUUAGCCCUAGAGGGAUAGCUUCCGUACGACUAUCAAAGGAAAUUGGUCAAUUUUUAAAUUGUCGAAAUUUAAUGCUGAGGGGACAAUUAGGUUUGUCAGAGGAGACCUUUCAUGAGGGCCAGACUUGUGGUGAUAUUUUGGAGAAACCUUUUUGCAUUGAGCCUACUCUGUAGGGUCACGUGGAAGCUGAUGGGCCGGCUAUUGUGGAACAAAAUAUGAGUGUGGUAAAGGAGAAGUCUCUUUCACAUAGUUCUCCUCCAAUUACCGAAUGCCACAUGGGGCCGUAGGAGUGGUAGGUGAGGGAAGACGGGACAAACGAGAUUGGUGGGGGCCAGGCGUGUGUGGAAGGAGUUUCUGAGGUGUUAUGUGGGGGAAAGAAGCGUGAGGUGCUAGGAGAGGUGGCCCCCUUAAUGUUGACUGAAAGGAAUAUUCCUUUUAUUGGGCCUAUCCAAUUUGUUGGGCCUCUUCAGGAUGCCUGUGGUAUGGAGCUAGGAGAGGCUUCUUGUAAAUUACAAGUUAACAAUAGGGAGGUGGGAAGAGUCAACAGUCAUGUCCGAUUUAUUUCGGAGGACUUCGGGAGGAGCAUGAAAGGAAUGUUUUGCAAACAACUAAAUAGAGGCACAAGAAGAAACUUGGAGGUGGAAAAUCUAUUUCGUCGGAAAUUGGUAAUUUUGCUUUAAAGGCGGAUUUGAUUGGUGGUAACAAACAUACAGGGAAGCCAAGACCAAAGGCUGCCUCGACUGUAACACCCCGUUCCCAAUAUCAAUUAUUUAAUAAAAUAAACACGCAUCAGAGUAAUAAUCCCAAACGGGCAUGUCACACUUCAUUUUCAAAUUUUCUUAAAUAGAAAAAUAAAACUAUUUAAUAAACCUUCAUAAAAAAUAUCAUUAAUCUGCAGCGGAAUAAUUGUAUUUAAGCAACAACAUUAACCGUUUAAAACUCCAUAAAAUAUCUCGGCAUAAAAGCCUCAACCAGAAAAAUCCAACAAAACAUAGGGCUACAAUAUCAUCAUCCAAAAUUUGAUACAUAGGAAUGAAGAAACAUUAAAAAUCCCAUCCCACAUAUCAGAGCCCUAGACACUUUGAGCCACCACCUACUACUCAGGAUCACCUGCAAGUUACCCAUAGGAAGGGCAACAUUUUCAAGCAGAAGGGGUGAGAUUCUCAGUCAAUAAAAAUAAUAAAUAAUAACAUCAAUUGAAUCUAACACCCUACAAUAUCCAUGGUUAUUCAAUAGGCAUAAGUAUUUCAUAAUCAACAACAAUCAUCCAGAUAUAGCAAUUCGAUCAACAAUAGCAACUCAUGAAAUGACAUGACACCCCACUAAGACUCCUCGAUAAAUGCAACUAUGCAUGUGGUACCAUAAACAGGGCCGUGACCCACACCGCUGUCGAAUGGUUAAAGCAUUCUCAACAGGACCUAAGUCCUCACCGCUCCACACCGCUUUGAACAACUAGUGUUCCACCGCUUUGAACGACGAGGCGUUCCAGAGCCGAAGCUCUCCCACUUUGAUGUUUAUGCAACUACCCAACCUGUGUAUAUCUUCAUACAACUCGACUAUUAUAUAUGUAUAUAUAUGACUCACCACUCCUUUUAAUGCAACAUGUUCAUUCACUUAGUUCACAUACUUCAACAUCUCCAAAAUUCAUAGAAAUCAACCAAAUCAAUUAUCAUUGUGUUUAAGUAGGAUCAGAUACCUAUACAAGAGUUAUACAAGCUAGAAGAAACACUUACAAAUACUCAAAAGGGUCCCCUAGUGCACAAAGCAAAGUUCAGAAAGAGGCUGACUAAGGCUCAGCUCGCUUAAGCGACGGGUAGUUCGCUUAAGCGACCAACUACAGGAAGUUUGGAUUCUAGCUCGCUUACGGGUCGCUCACGGUUCGCUUAAGCGAAUUCUUGGCAGAAUCAAACUUAAUUUUCGCUUACCAGCUCGCUCACUGUUCGCUUAAGCGAACAGGCAAAAUCGUAUUUCUGGGUGGCUUGCUUGAAUGCUCGCUUAAGCGACGGGUAGCUCGCUUAAGCGACCGCUCAUCUGGGCAGGGUAAAAACCUACAAUUUCAGACUUCUCCUCACUCCAAAAACCCAAUUUCAAUCCCCUGAUCACCCAAAAUGUUUUCUAACAGAUGUUUACAGGUCCUAUAUACAAUUAGACAUCUAAAGGAACACAAAACAGUCAUCAACCAACAACAAUUACAGAUCAUUCCAUCAUCAUACACAAAUUCAUCAAUUCAUCCAAUCACUCAUAAUUUUCAAUCAAUUUAUGAUCACAGCAACAACAAAGAUUAAGUUUUCAUUCUGAACAUUAUAUUAUAAAAGGAUUAACAUGAUCAUUACCCAUUCCUCUUCAGAAUCGUCAUCAAACCCUAACCCUCAAUUGAUUUUAAUUUUUCAAAACUAUGCCACUAGGUCAAUUUUCAGGAAUUAUAGAUUAUGAUUAUUGAGAGAUAGUCUCACCCUUACCUUAGUUUUGCAGAAAAUUAGACAGCAAGAAUCGGUUCUAGGCUCUCCUCUCUAGCUCUGGCUCUUCUUCUCCCUUUUCUCCCAAAAGCUUAAUGUUCUUACGUAAAAAACGUUUUGACUGUUUUUCUUUCUUUUUCUAACUUCCACCAUAACUUCCCUUAUUUCAUUAAACUCCCUUAAUUUUUAUUAAAUUCUAAUUAACUCCCUAAUUCCUAAAUUAAUAUUAAUUUCCACUUAUUUUAAUUAUUAUUAUAUUAAACCAUAUAAUAAAAUACACACACCACAUAAAUCACUAAAAAUCAUAUAAAAUCACACACGAGGCUCCAAAUAAUUCAAAAUAAAAUAAAUAAUAACUAGGGCGUUACAUCGACAACUUCCCCUGAAAGAGCAGUAGCGAGACAUAGUGGGAGGAAGAAAGAUGAUAGUGGCAACGGGUCCGGGAUGGCGGUUUCUCCAUCAUCGGGGUUUAGACUUAUUCUUGAUGAAGAAGUCACCCAAGUACCGGAAUCAUCUUUGAUGAAUGGGGAAAUAGAUCCUUUGAAGAAGUUGGAGGCUUCAUCAUUGUUUGAGAGGCAAAAUGUGAUGGGAUUUUCGUUCACUACACCGGGGAAGGAAAAUAAGGAUAGGGUGGAAAAUAUGCAGGUUGCAGAUGUGGAUAAGAAGGUCAUAAGGGAGAGAAGAUCGGGUAUCCAAUGAUAAUUACAACCUUUAAUAUUAAAGGCUUGGGGGUGUUUCAAAGAAAAUAACAUUAAAGAUUUAGUGCGAAGUAAUAAGGUUGAUUUUUUGGCUAUUCAAGAGACGAAGAUGGAGGAGAUUUCGACUUCUUUUUGUCAAAAUUUAUGGGGAAGGGAGGAUUGUAAUUGGGCGUUUCUUCCUUCCGAAGGUAAUAGUGGAGGUAUUCUUUCUAUUUAGAGUAAUAUUAAUAAUGUAACUAAUUGAGCUUUUGUUGGAGAGGGUUAUGUGGGGGUGUGCUUGGAUUCCAAACUUAAAGUUGAACAUUCCAUCAGACCGGAGAGUUUCUCCAAAUUCGCCAAAUUUUGGAGAUGUUGUCCUGGUGGCUGGGUUCCAUAAACGGAGCCAGUACUCUGUAUAAUUAUAGUUGAUCUGCUAUAAUUAUUGGUGACUAAUGUACCAUUUUUCAUUGACACCAAAGAGGACAAGAAAUAAAUAAUAAUUCAAAAUGAUAAAAUUAACGUAAGUUACUGUCUUUUGUUUUUGUUUUGAGGUAAUACGAGUUACUAUGUUCUAUGACUAAAUGGAUGUUCACAUUUGACACAAGAUAAACUAUAUGAGAUACAUUUAGGAUAAAGUUAUGAAGGUAAAAUAUGAAGUAUAACAAAGGGGAAAAAAACUAAGACAUGCUCAGGACAGAAACAAAAACAAAUAGAACUUGAGGAUGGUUAAAACUUGGAAGUCAUGAAUCAAGACUGUGAUUGUUGUUUCACACAUCCAAGCAAAAGUGAAACAACUCAAACUCCAAAUGUGGUACCAGCUAAUUCUGAUUUUUAUAAGUAAAAUCAAUAUAGAAAGUUGAAAGAAAAAUUAUAUAUAUUAAUGGAAAUAAUGAAAACUUACAUACCGGGGUACAUAUAUAUAUGAUCCAUAAAAGAUUAUAAACAAAUAAACUCACCAAAACACAUUUUAUAUUACAUGAAACACAGAGUAUAUCAAGCAUCAGACCAUGUAAUGUCCAAUCCACCCCAUUGAUCAUGAGGCACACCCAAGGCUUUCCACACAGCUUUAGAGGCAUCAACUAUGUUGUUGUUACAAGGAGGUUGAUAAUCAUGUUCUUUAUCGCAUCCUGCUCUCGAAUCACACUCAUCAACAACUUUGGCCACCACACUUCUUCCGUUCGCACUAAUCUUAAUUUUGUUGAGACAUCUACUCUUGUUGUUGAACCAUCCAGUAGAAAGUGCAACAACUGGGGUGUCAUCAGAAUGAUAUUGAUUAUCACACGCUGAAGGACCACCUCCAUCUCCACCUUCUUGAAAACUAUUGAGCGUGAGAAACGCUUUAGUGUGAGUAGAUACUGAUGGUGAACAUUUAUAAGUUGUGUACAUUUUUCCCUGUACACAACAAUCAAAGUCAUUCUCCUGGUUACAUUGUCUUGAAGGAGCUUUUUCUCCUUUAAUUCUACCACUUGGACGACACUGUUGAGCUUCAGAGUGCAACAAAUUUGUGAUAAUCAUAAAAACUAGAAAACAAAAGGAUGCUUUUGAGCAAAAACUCUUCAUAUUGUCUAUAUAGUUGUGUUUUUCUUCCAAGUAUUUGUGUGUUUGAUAUGCAUGGAUUGGAAUUCUCAAAAGGUAUAUAUAGAGAUUAAUUGCCACAAAUAUGUCCACCACUUCAAUGUAGGGUUGUAACAUUUUUGAGGUCAAAGAGUUAGUUUUAUAUUACUUUGCUUGCCAAUUACUUGAACGAAUUUUACAUUCUACUUUAUUUAAUAGUUUGAGGGGCAUGUAUUAAAUUGAUAUCACAUAGUAAACAUCCGAAGCAAUGCCCUGAAACAUAGGAAAGUAAAAUUCAUAUUAAAAUCACAUACAAUGUUUAUGUUAAACAUUAGUACUUAUUAACAGUUAAAUAUCUUGUAAGCAUAUUUGAAAACUGGCUUAAAAAAAUCAAUACAAGACAAAAGAAGAGCAAAGGUUUUCUCUUGUAGACAAAUUAUCUUUUUGCAUGUUAAUAUUUAAUAACUAAAAAGUAAUGGUUAGUGUUCAAAAUAAAUAUUGCAUUGUCUAAACAAGAUAGUGUAGAACUUAUUCUUUGACCUCAAAAGUGAUCUUAUAGGACUGGACUUGUCAUUUGAGCAAAACACAGCAUUAUGUUCUACAACCAUUUAUUGUACAUGUACAUAUUAAUCUACCAUUUAUUGCAUUAUGCUAUUCAAGUGUAUUUUAUAACUUUUUAAGAUAAUUUAUUUAGUAUUUGUCAAAAAAAAAAAAGAUAAUUUAUUUAGUAGUGCAAAUCUUGUUAUUUGACCUCAAAAGCAAUCCCUUGCUUGUUGUUUCAAAGCCGAUCAACAUACAUAAUACACAUUAAGUUUCCUAUAUAUAUCCUACUAAAAGCUCCAUCACAGCAUCAAACACUAAGAACAAGAACUAAGAGGAGAAAUAUAGAGUUGCAUAGACAAAAUGAAGAGCUUUUGCCCCAAAUUUUCUUUUCUCUUAUUGAUUACUCUUAUUUUAACAAGUUUCUUGUAUUCUGAGGCUCAAAAGUGUCGUCCAAACGGUAGAAUCAGGGGAAAGAAAGCUCCAUCGGGACAAUGCAACAAAGAGAAUGACUCUGAUUGUUGUGUACAAGGAAAGAUGUACACAACUUAUGAAUGUUCACCAUCAGUGUCUACUCAUACUAAGGCAUACCUCACACUUAACAGUUUCCAGAAAGGUGGAGAUGGAGGCGGACCUUCAGCGUGUGAUAAUCAAUAUCAUUCUGAUGACACUCCAGUUGUUGCACUUUCCACCGGAUGGUUCAACGACAAGAGCAGAUGUCUCAACAAGAUUACCAUAAGUGCCAAUGGAAGAAGUGUGGUGGCCACUGUGGUUGAUGAGUGUGACUCUACGAUGGGAUGUGAUGAAGAACAUGAUUACCAACCUCCUUGUCCAAACAACAUUGUUGAUGCUUCCAAGGCUGUGUGGAAAGCCUUGGGUGUGCCUCAAGAUCAAUGGGGUGGCCUUGACAUUACAUGGUCAGAUGCUUGAUUGUAGAAGAUGUAAUGUGUCUUUUUGUGCUGUAAUAUUUAUGUGAUAGUGUGUACAUUUAUUUCUCAUCUUAUGUGGAUUAUGUAAAUAUUGCUACCAGUGAUCAUUCUGUUGUAAAUUAAGAAAGUUAAAUACAUUUUCCGUGGUUUUAAAAUGUGAGUUGCGCCACCUUAUGAUAUGACUGCAAUACUUCAGUUCAAUUGUAGUGGUGUUUGCAAAUUCUACAGAAAUUUAGUAUUUUGAAAGGCACGUCAAUAGCUUAGGUUAUGUGAUUUGAGGACUUGGUUCGUUCUGAGAUUGGUCCGGACGACUUGGCUUCAGGUUGUGCAAUAGUACGUAGAAAAAGAGUGAGAGUAAGUGUGGUGAUCAUACACAGACCCCCUAUUUGUACCGUGGUUCCAAAGUGAUAUGCCCCUGUAACCCUGCUGGCUUCAGACUGUGCUAUCUUCAUGUUGAAUUUAUGUUCAAUAGGCUCGGUUUGGUAGGGAAAAUGAAUCUGAGAUAAACAAAUAUGUUCCAUAUAAGACUAGGAAGUAGGAAGGGUGGAGCACAUUAGUGAAUUUCUAUUUUGGAGGUGAGCUAGUUUUUUGAGAUGACGUUGGAUGUUGAUAUUCGUGUUCUGUCAUCCUUAAUGCCGAGUUAAGCACCUCAGAUGGACUCGUUGUUGGACCUCGCUGUUGGGCUAGUUUGGAGCGUUUGAAUCGAGUGAUAAUCAUUAGGAUAAUUAGAUUGGGCCUUUUACACCUAAAUCAUUACAAUGAUUAACCACAAUUUUCAACACGAUCUAAAUUAACUAUAUAUUCAAUUGAAUUAACCACAUUUUGCACGUGAUUAACCUAGUGUCGCACCUGUACGAAAAAGUGGAUGUCGCAAGUGUACCAAAAUAUAAGUCUUCGGUUUUCUUUGAAAAGAUUAUUACGUACAUGUUUACAAACUAAUUAUGUUCCUUGAAUUAAUCACUACUUGAUGAAAACGGGGAUAGAAAAUUUGGUUGUUACAAUAGACAAAAAACCAGUCGUUCUCCAAUAAGGAGCAUAUAACAUAAAACAUCUUAGGAAGCAAUGAGACAUAAGAGUUUCAAAAACCUACAAAAUACCAUUAAACUGAAUAUCUUUAUGUGUAUUAGAUUUAGAUUAGAUGUUUACCUCUUAAUACAUAAUAAAUAACAAGUUCUCGUUAGUGUCCAAAAUAGAUAUUGUAUUCGUUAAACAAGGUAGUGUAGAACUUGUUCUUUGACCUCAAAAGUGAACCUAUAUAUGUGUUUCUUUGACCAAAAAUCUAACUUCUAUAUGCUGUGUUUGUUUUUCUUUUGCUUUUUAUACAAAACCAAGCAAAUUACUGUGAGAGUUAACUUAAAAUCAGAAAUCUGGAGUAUCGUGCCACGAUGGAGAAGCAUCGCGCCACGAUGGUUGAAGCAAGAUUCCUGGGAAGACAUUGGAAAUUUCGUGCCACGAUGAAGCCUCAUCGCGCCACGAUGGUCGCGCUGAAGAUAAAAAUAAAACGUAUUUUCAGUUAGAUUUGUUUCAGUUUUUUAAGGGUUUACUUUCCACUAUAAAUACAGCCUUGUAUCAGAUGAUAAAAGUGUGUAGAAAAACAAGGUUUAGACCAACAAAUAAACUAGGGUUUAUAGAGAAUCUCUCUUGGCAACAACUCUAGGGUUGAGAUUGUUUUGAUUCACCUUGAACAAAACACUAUUAGGAUUGAGUCUCUUGGUCACGGGAAGAGGCUGGGACUUGGGUAGAAUUAGGUUUGAAGACUGAUUCUUGAAACUCAUUAUCUCUUUGUAAAGAAACUCAUUCAUUAUAGUGGAUCGGAGAGCUGCUCUCUCCCCCAGACUAGGUCAUCAUUAGACCGAACUGGGUAAACAAAUAUCUUGUGUUUCUCUCUCUCUCUCUCUCUCUCUCUCUCUCUCUCUUUUAUCUCUUGCUGUUUUUGUUUGGAUUAUUUGCUACCCGCUUGAUUUGAUUGCUUGGUAUUAAUUUGCUCCACCCAUCAAGUUUUUUAUUGGUGUGGUUUUCUCAACGAAUUCACAACAAUUACUUUACUAGAAGAGGAGUUCUCUAUAUAUAGACUAACUAAAAUCUAUCCCAAAACAUCAAACACUAAGAAGAACAACAAAGAGAAAAAUAGAGUUUCAUAGACAAAAUGAAGAGAUCUAGAUUUUUCCCCAAAGCUUCUUUUAUUUUGUUGGUUAUUACUCUUAUUUUAACAAGUUUUGUGUACUCAAGAACUGUCGUCCAAGCGGUAGAAUUAGAGGAAAGAAAGCUCCUCCAGGACAAUGCAAUCAAGAGAACGAUUCUGAUUGUUGUGUACAAGGAAAAAUGUACACAACAUAUGUAUGUUCUCCAUCAGUGUCUACUCACACAAAAGCAUAUCUCACUCUUAAUAGUUUUGAAAAGGGUGGAGAUGGAGGUGGUCCUUCAGAAUGUGACAAGCAGUAUCAUUCCGAUGACACUCCCGUUGUUGCACUCUCAACCGGAUGGUUCAACCACAAGAGCAGGUGCCUCAACAACAUUACCAUAAGUGCGAAUGGAAAAAGUGUGGUGGCCAUGGUUGUUGAUGAGUGUGACUCCAGAAAGGGAUGUGAUGAACAACAUGAUUACCAACCUCCUUGUCCAAAUAACAUUGUUGAUGCUUCCAAGGCUGUGUGGAAAGCUUUAAAUGUGCCUAAAGAGCAAUGGGGUGGCCUUGACAUUACAUGGUCAGAUGCUUGAUAUGAGUUGAAAUCCUUGUUCGUGUUUCUAUGGUUUAACUUAGUCAUGUUACUUAUUUUGUACUUUUAUUUCUCAUCAUGUGUAUAUGUAUCAUAUACUUGUGACCAUUCUGUUAUUAGAAAAUACAGUACAUACUUUUAUUGAUAUAGCUCAAAUCCAAAAUAGAAUAUUUGCCUUUAUAUCAAUACUCAAAUCUUAGUUUCGUUGAUAUAUCAAACCAGAGGUUAGUCAGAGCCUUGCCUUCUUCACUAAGAAAUGUUUCAGAAAGGGGACUUUCCCAUGGUGGGAAAAACACCAUUUUCCCAGGCUAAACGCCACCCUUUUAAGAAGAUCAACAUAUAACUAGAAUCCUAACUCACUAAACUUCAACUAACUCUAUAUCAAAUAAAUAAUUUAUUAAUUUCGAAAUCACCCCUAACAAUAGAACCAUUAUAUGUACAAACCAGAAAGAAAGAAUCAAGAAGAAUGCAAAUUUAAAAGCAUUCCAUCAUAUGAUGUAUCCCAAAUCAUUCAUUUUAAUAUAAACACACCAGAGUUGUGUAGAACUAUGAAACACUGACUAUGACAAGACAUUGAAACAUCGACGUUAGUAAAAGUUUAAAAAAUGAAUUAAUUAAAUAUAAUCAAAUGCAUUAGUGUCGGGUUACUUUGACUCCAAGAAAACAAUGCCUAUUGCUCCACUAUGAUUUUUCCAGUAGCAUGGCCAUCGAUGCUCUUAGCCCAAGCAUCUUCAGCUUUGCUCAAAGGAAACUUGGAGUCAAUAAUUGUCUUGAGUUUUCCAUCCUUCACUAACUGACCGAGAUGUUCUAAGCCCUCGCGAGUUGGAGUUAAAAGAAACGGCACCCACUGCUUCUUCGAAAAGGUAAGUUUCUUCACCGCAAAAGUCCACAUUGAUCUCGGGCCAGGUGUUAUAUCCGCUACAACCCCAUUUUCCGACAAAUUAGGCUCAAAAACUGACCAUGGUAUUCCAGCAGUACAAUGUAUCACUACAUCAUAUUUCCUACCAGAAGGACUUUUUAGCGAUGCUCCUUCUGGAGUCUUGUAGUCGAGAACCUCAUCGGCACCUAAGCUCUUGAUAAGGUCAAUGUUGCGAGCACCACAAGUAGCUGUCACAUGGUUGUUCCCUAGUUUUGCAAGUUGAAC
rnacentral:lncRNA from 1 species